rnacentral:misc_RNA from 1 species
GGACUCUCGAGCCUCGCAGAUAGAAAAGGACAUUUUCGGGGAAAAUAUGAAUCACAAGCUCGUAAAAAUUUCAGUGAUCAGAACGGAAAAAAACUGCCCAUCUUUUCCUCACUGACCGCCACGUUUCAACAUUUCCCUUGCCCUCUCCUUUUCCUAAGAAAAAACUGGGCCCUGCAUUUAACAGAAGUUUUCGUCUCUGUUUCUGUCUGUACUUUUCCUCUAUCACCACUGCCAGCUUCACCUUCUCCAUUUCAGUCUUUCUCCCUGGAAGAAAGAACUGCACUUUCUCCUCUUAGAUUGCUGCAGUGGGUUUUUGUUUUUGUGUGCCUAGGUGCUCUAUAUUAGUGCUUUGAGUGUUUUAUUUUUGUUUUUAUUUUUUCGGGUAUAAUGACGGAUACAACAGAUGAUAUAGCUGAGGAAAUCUCAUUUCAAAGCUUUGACGAUGACUGUAAGCUGCUUGGGAAUCUGCUAAACGAUGUGUUGCAGAGAGAAGUUGGAGGCAGAUUUAUGGAGAAACUUGAAAGGAACCGGAUCCUCGCUCAGAGUGCCUGCAAUAUGAGAUUGGCGGGGAUAGAGGAUACAGCUGAGCUGCUAGAGAAGCAGCUGGCACUGGAGAUGUCAAAGAUGACAUUAGAGGAAGCCUUGACUCUUGCUCGUGCAUUUAGUCAUUACCUUAAUUUGAUGGGGAUUGCUGAGACCCAUCACAGGUCAUUUCUGUUUGCUAUUGUUAUUUUUCUCUGAGCAUGCCUAUUUAAUCAGCUCAUUUAUUUUACAUUUCAAUGUAUGUUGAUAAUUUUCAGUCCUCAAAUUAUCAAAAGAUUGUUCAAUUUAGGCUUUUGCUUAAUUUGGAAUCAGUAAAUUACAUCACAGGCAAUGCAUUGUCCUUUUACGGUUUUCAGACUGAUGAAGGUAGCGUUGUUUUUAAGGCCUUUUAUUUCUUUUCUUCUGAUAUUAAGACAUGAUGAACUAACGCUCUAUGGGUUCUUAGAUGGUAGGAGGGAAAGAAAAGAAAAUUCCCAUGUAGAAUUUGCAUUUGACCAUUCUUCUCUGAUCCUUUCUAUUAUGUCUUCUAUAAACUACUGCAGAGUUGGUCAUACUGAAUAGCCUUUUAAUUUACAUUCCUUUCCUCUUUUUAGCGUUCUCCUAUUGAAUGCUUCUCUGUUCUAGUUCAGUUUUAAAUAUGGGAAGGAAACCUUUCUAGAUAAAUUGUGGAAAACUGUUGCAUCCUGCAGGGUUCGUAGGGCUCGAAGUAUGACACAUCUAUCAAAAUCUUGUGAUGACAUUUUUAAUCAGCUGUUGCAGGGUGAAGUUUCUCCAGAGGAGCUUUAUAACACAGUUUGCAAGCAGGAGGUUGAAAUUGUUCUUACUGCGCAUCCUACUCAAAUUAAUCGUCGUACCUUGCAAUAUAAGCACAUUAGAAUAGCUCAUCUUUUAGAUUAUAAUGAUCGACCUGAUCUUACUCAUGAAGAUAGAGAAAUGCUGAUUGAAGAUCUGGUGAGAGAGAUUACUUCAAUAUGGCAGACAGAUGAGCUUAGACGUCAUAAACCUACACCAGUGGAUGAAGCUAGGGCUGGCUUGAACAUUGUUGAGCAGUCCCUGUGGAAAGCUGUGCCUCAUUACUUACGUCGUGUUAGCAAUGCCCUGAAGAAGCAUACAGGAAAGCCACUUCCAUUAACUUGCACACCUAUAAAGUUUGGGUCUUGGAUGGGGGGUGAUAGAGAUGGAAAUCCCAAUGUAACAGCAAAGGUCACAAGAGAUGUUUCUCUUUUGUCUAGGUGGAUGGCUAUUGACUUGUACAUUCGAGAAGUUGAUAGCCUCAGAUUUGAACUAUCCAUGAAUCAGUGCAGUGAUAGGAUGUUAAAAGUGGCAAAUGACAUUCUAGUAGAAGAAACUAAAUCAGAGGAUCGAUAUGAGAGUUGGAAUCAACCCAUGAUCAGAAGUCAAACAAAGCUUCAUGGCCAACAAACUCCAUCUCUUCCGACACAACUUCCAGCGAGAGCUGAUCUUCCUGCCUGUACUGAACACAAUGAUGGUGCUGAGUAUCCCAAACUGGAACUUCCAGGGACUAAUUACAUGCCUUCGAGUCGUCAGGAUGCCCUCGGUUCUUCAAAUUCACAGUCUUCAUUCCAGGAUUCGAGUCAUGGUUCAGGCAAUUCUUUCCCAAAUGGAAAUAUUGCCAACUCUAGUAGUUCUCCCUCUUCUGGGACUCUGCGGGGAUCUUUCACUUCUAGUCAACUACUUGCACAGAGGAAAAUAUUCGCAGAAUCUAAGAUAGGAAGAUCCAGCUUCCAGAAACUUCUGGAGCCAAGUCUGCCUCAACUUCCUGGAAUUGCUCCUUACAGAAUUGUUCUUGGCAACGUAAAAGAUAAACUUACGAGGGCUAGAAGACGGUUGGAACUUCUUCUAGAGGAUCUUCCCUGUGAAUAUGAUCCUUGGGAUUACUAUGAGACAACAGAGCAAUUACUAGAACCACUGCUUCUGUGCUAUGAGUCUUUGCAAUCAUGUGGAGGUGGGGUUCUAGCUGAUGGUCGGUUGGCUGACCUGAUUAGAAGAGUUGCUACCUUUGGGAUGGUAUUAAUGAAGCUAGACUUGCGCCAGGAAUCUGGUAGACAUGCUGAAACACUAGAUGCAGUCACGAAAUAUUUGGAUAUGGGAACAUAUAGCGGAUGGGAUGAAGAAAAGAAACUGGAAUUUCUAACAAGAGAACUGAAAGGGAAGCGACCACUAGUUCCUCCUACUAUUGAGGUUGCUCCUGAUGUCAAGGAAGUCCUGGAUACUUUUCGAGUUGCUGCUGAGCUGGGAAGUGAUUCACUUGGAGCUUAUGUGAUUUCUAUGGCAUCCAAUGCAAGUGAUGUCCUUGCUGUGGAGCUUCUGCAGAAGGAUGCCCGGCUUGCUGUUAGUGGGGAGUUGGGGAGACCAUGUCCUGGUGGAACACUGCGAGUAGUUCCAUUGUUUGAAACUGUGAAAGACCUGAGAGGGGCUGGUUCAGUGAUCAGAAAAUUGUUAUCAAUUGAUUGGUACCGUGAACACAUUAUUAAGAACCAUAGUGGGCAUCAGGAGGUGAUGGUAGGAUAUUCUGAUUCCGGUAAAGAUGCUGGGCGCUUCACUGCUGCAUGGGAACUUUACAAAGCACAAGAGGAUGUUGUGGCAGCUUGCAAUGAGUAUGGUAUCAAAGUAACACUAUUCCAUGGACGUGGAGGGAGUAUUGGUCGUGGUGGUGGCCCCACAUAUCUUGCCAUACAAUCCCAACCACCUGGUUCAGUAAUGGGGACUCUUAGGUCAACUGAGCAAGGAGAAAUGGUGCAGGCCAAGUUUGGGCUUCCACAUACUGCUGUCAGACAGCUAGAAAUAUACACAACUGCAGUCCUGCUAGCAACCCUUUGUCCCCCGCUUCCACCUCGAGAACAAAAAUGGCGCAAUGUCAUGGAGGAGAUAUCAAAAAUCAGUUGCCAAAAUUACAGGAGUACAGUCUAUGAAAAUCCAGAAUUCCUUGCUUACUUCCACGAGGCUACUCCCCAGGCUGAGCUUGGCUUUCUUAACAUAGGAAGCCGGCCCACAAGAAGAAAGAGCACAACUGGUAUUGGACAUCUUCGUGCCAUUCCAUGGGUAUUUGCUUGGACUCAAACCAGAUUUGUGCUUCCUGCUUGGCUUGGAGUUGGAGCAGGUCUAAAGGGUGCUUGUGAGAAGGGAUUUACUGAAGACUUGAAAGCAAUGUACAAAGAAUGGCCUUUUUUCCAAUCAACUGUAGACCUUAUAGAGAUGGUUUUAGGAAAAGCAGACAUUCCUAUAGCCGAACACUACGAUGAAGUGCUUGUCUCUGAGAGCAGGAGAGAGCUUGGUGCUGCACUCAGGAGGGAACUCCUAACAACAGAGAAGUAUGUGU